CUCCAACGGGCUGCUGUUUGAUUCACAUGUAAUAGUGAAGCUAAUUUUUAGUUAGAUUAACGUCAAACCACACUGAAUUUAUUAACAAAAAACACGAUCCACAGGUUUCGGUUUGGUCUUCAACUGAGUAAAAAGAUUUGCCAAACCAGCUGGUAAUGAAUCGAGUCUGGAUGAAGAUGCCAUCCAGUCACAGGUGCCUUCUCAGUCUGUACAGUCAUGUACAGUUGGAAUACAGAACACUCCAGUAACGUGUGAUGUCAGUGUUGGUACUAGCAGACCAGACAUUAUUAUUGAGGAUAUACAAGACUCAAAUGUUGAUAUAAACAAAGCAGACGGCACAUAUCGAGUGCAGAUAUAGCUGAUGCAGUAAAGUUCUAUGUUUGUAUUUACAUGAUGGUGUAUUCAAUCAUCUUGGUCUAAGUACAGGCAUGGUUGGCAGUAGAUCAUCUUUAGAUCGUAUCAGAAGAAUAUAUGAUACAAACGUCAUGAAAUGAAAGUCAACAGUCACAGACAGUCUGGUGUUUUUGGAUGCAUCAUCACAGUCAACUAUCCCAUAUGAAGAACAUUCUGAAUGUCAAAUUUGUGUCUCUUUUCCAUUAACAUGACAGUGGGAAAUUGCCAAGAACAUGAAAAUGGCAAUGAUGAAUUGAUGGAAUAUUCAUUACCAGCAUCCCCAUUGCAAGGUUCAGCCCCUUGCAUUGAUUCUCCAUAUGCUAGUGACAUUGGAGGCAGUGACACACCGGUGAACAAGGAUUAUAAAGGUAUUAUAAUGAUCUGAGAAUUAAAAACAUUUCCAAAUAAUAUGACACCAAUGUUGACAUUUGUAAAUAAAGAUGAUGUACCUUUAAGAUAGUUUUGGGAAUAGUUGUUUCUUUACAUACAACUUUUCAGAACUUCAUGAAAUACAAUUCCUUGAAUAUUUGAUCUUAUGUAGGCAGUAUAUUCUUUGUUGAAUGAUACCAGUGUUUCUGCCAGAAAGAAAGUAAUGGGUAUGGUGCUAUGGAAUUGAAU
rnacentral:lncRNA from 1 species